GCCAAAUGCAGCUGCAUAGAAUAUGAGGAGAGAGACUCUCAAGUUAAAUGACCUACCUAAAGUCACACAUCUGACAGAUAUAGCAGUAGGGAUUUGGAUCCAAGGCGGCUUUCUUCCUACUGUACCAAACUAUCUUUUUAAUGCAGGAAUCUGCCACCAACUCUACUACCCGGCCCAAGAGACAUCUGCAGGAAAACACGAUCUGGGCUGCAGACAUGGUCCAGCUGUGCAUUUUCCACCUGAAACCAUCAUCCCUUAUUACAGAUUUCCGCCACCUCAACAGCAAACAAACGUGAUGCUUGAUAUUAAAGAACCUUCAGGAAAUAGGCAACAGGAAGCAAGGAAGAAAUAACUGGAAGAGAAGAUCGGUGAGUGAUGUGUCAUCUUCACCUGCCAGGAAUGCUGUCACAUCCCCAGGAGAGAUAGAGAAAGAACCAUUACGAAACAGUGUGGUGUUUAAUACCCUUGGGGUACUUUCUUAUGGUAAGAGUCUUAAUGAAAUGAACUAACACUUUGUUCCUCUAAUGCUUUGUGACCUCUGAGGGAAGGGAGUAGGAAGAAACUGCCCCUCUGGGGUGAUGAUUCUCCAAUAGUAAAGUUGGCCUCCCUGGAAGACCCUGAAUCACUUCCAGGGUAAAUGCAAAACAGAAGGAAAACCAAAGUCUGAGGCAAUCUACUUGCUGAAUUAUCUCCACUAAGAUCUUCAGACAAACACUGAGCAUCCAAUAAGAGAGGAAGCAGAAAAACAGACAGACCCAGACCUGCUCAAAAUUGAAGGUGCUUUCUGUAAAGGCAAUGACUGUACGUUCUGUGCAUUUUGACAAAUAGGCUGUUUUUAUAUACGGGCCCAGAAAAAACCAUCUUUCCCCUGAAGAGACCCCCAAAGCUAGAUGAUUCUACUUUGUCUAAGAACACUAUUGUAAAAUAUUCCUGAAAAGAAAAGUCACCUUUAAUAGAUUUUUUAAUUUUAAGGUGAGGAGAAAACUGCCCUUCCCUUAAUGGUUAUAUAUGGUAACGCUGGUGAGCCCCGUAAAGCACUCCCUCUCAUAAAUGAAAGCCCUUUCAGUAUGAUAGUCAUCUUUCAAGAGGGGCCUCUUAGGCUCUCUUAGCUAAGUCUGUUAUUUAUAAAGUGCACUGAGUGUUUAAAAGAAGCAAAACUCUUUUAGGGCACCUGGACACAAUGACCUUAUAAAGAGGCAAGCAUGUAACAAGAAUACCUCUGAGCAAAGUCACUUCAAGUACCAAGGUAGUUUUGAGUUGCCAACUCCUACCACGGCAAUUCUAUCAUGGCAAUCGCCCUCCAACAAGCCCUGUCCUGUCCUCUGCACUCCUACGUCACCACCCUGACUCAAGGCCUCAUUACUUCUCUCCUAGGAUAUACCAGAACAGCCUCCUACCAUUAUCUUGACUCCAGUGUCCUUCCAUCCAAUCCAUUCUGAACAGCUUAACAGAGCAAGCUUCCCUAAAGCAGUGACUCAAUACACAUUUAUUAAGCAUCUACUAGGUACCAACCACUAUGAAAUGAAAAGAAAGGCAAAAGACAGCCCCUGCUCUCAAGGAGCGAACAGUCUAAUGGAGAAAACAACCUGCAAAGAAUGGUGUACAAGGAAACUAUAGACAGAAUAAAUUGGAAAUAAAUCAACAGUGUAAAAGGGAACUGACAAAUACUUCCUGUAGAAGAUGAUAUUUUAGCUGGGACUUGAAGGAAGCCAGUAGGCUGAGAUGAGGGAGAGCAUUCCAGGCACGGGGGAAUGGGGGGGAGGAUGGAAGACAACCAGUAAAAAUACUCUGAGAUGGGAGAUGAGUGUCUUCCUCAAGGAACAGCACAGAAGUCAAUGUAGAUAGAAUAAAGAAUAUGUGGUGAUAGGGUGGUGGUGGGUGUGGUCUUAGUUGUAAGAAGACUGGAAAGGUGUUGUUAGUAGGGGGACAGGUUAUGAAGGACUUUGAAUGUCAAGCAGAAGAUUUUUCUAUCUGAUCCAAGAGGCAAUACGGAGCCACUGGAGUUAACUGACUAGGAGGUAACAUGAUUAGCAUUAGGAAAAUCACUUUGGCAGUUGAGGGCAGGAUAGACUGGAGUGAGGAGAAGCUCAUGGCAGGGAGACCACCCAGGCAUGAAGUGAUAAGGACCCACACCAGGCAAUGUCAGAAGAGGGAAGGGAGCGUAUAUGAGAGAUAUUAUGAUGGUAAAAUCAGCAGGCCUUAGCAAGACAUUAGACAUGGAGAAUGAGGAAAAGGAAAAGUCAAGAAUAAUACCUAGGUUAUGAGCCUGGGUGAGUGGGAGGAUGAUAAAGGCCUCAACAGGCCUUAAGUUAAGGUCUUAACAGCAAAGUUAAGAAGUGGGGGUAGGUUGGGAGGAAGGCAAUGGUUUCAGUUUUGAACAUGUUGAGUUUAAGACGUCUAUGGGACAUCCAGUUCAAGAUGUCCAACAGGUAGUCAGAGGCAUGAGACUGGCAGUCAAAGAGAGGUUAGGUUUGGAUAAACAGAUUUCAAAAUGAUCUUAAAUAUAAACAGAAUUUAUGAAAGCUGAUGAAGUCACCAGAUGAAAGAAUAUAAAGGGAGAAGAGAAGACGGCCCAGGACAGAACCCUGGGGGACACCUAUACUUAGUGGAUGUGACCUGGAUUUGAGUGGUGAGGGGGGAAAGGAAGAGUCAAAGACAGCUCUAAAGUUUUGUGACAAGUGACCAGGAGAUUGGUAGUGCCACAAGAAGCAUGAAGUCACAAUGGGGGACAAGUUUAGAGAAGUUUAGUCACAGAUAUGCUGAAUUUGAGGCGCUGAUAAGACAUCUAAGUGGAAUUGUCUGUUAAGCAGCUGAAAAUGAAAGUCUGAAGUUCAGGAGAGGUCAAGGUUGGAGAUUUGGGAGUUGUCCACAUAAAGGUACUGCUUUUUCAAAUGUCAUCCUUUAUAGUUACAAGUGACCCUCUCACCUCUGAACUACCAGAGCAUUGUUUGUACCUCUUAGGCAAUGAACACAUGCUCCCAGACAUAGUUAUCUGAAUACACUUUAUUUCCCCUAUCAGGUUCUGAACUCAUCAGAACUUAGAUGGGGCUUACUCACUUUAAACAAAGGUAUAUAAACACAGGGUAUUGUAUAUAAUAAUUUUAGCUAACAUUUAUACAGCACUUACUAUGU